GACGAACGCUGGCCGCGUGCUUAACACAUGGAAGUCGAACGGAAAGGCCCUGCUUUUGUGGGGGGCUCGAGUGGCGAACGGGUGAGUAACACGUGAGCAACCUGCGCUUGACUUUGUGAUAACUUAAGGAAACUGGGGCUAAUACCGGAUAGGAGCCCCUGCUGAAUGGUGGGGGUUGGAAAGGUUCUGCGGUUGGGGAUGGACUCGCGGCUGAUCAGCUUGUUGGUGGGGUAGCGGCUUAUCAAGGCUUUGACGGGUAGCCGGCCUGAGCGGGUGACCGGCCACAAUGGGACUGAUAUACGGCGCAGAGUACUACGGGCGGCAACCGUGGCGAACAUCACACAGCAAGCUGAAGCCUGAUGCAGCACCGCCGCGUGCGGGCUGACGGCCUUCAGGUUGUGAACCGCUUUAGCCUGUGACGAAGCGUGACAGACGGUAAUUGAUAAAGCAGCACCGGCUAACUACGUG
rnacentral:rRNA from 1 species